rnacentral:rRNA from 1 species
UAGGGAAUCUUCGGCAAUGGGGGGAACCCUGUCCGAGCAACGCCGCGUGAGUGAAGAAGGUUUUCGGAUCGUAAAGCUCUGUUGUUAAGGAAGAACGAGUGUGAGAAUGGAAAGUUCAUACUGUGACGGUACUUAACCAGAAAGGGACGGCUAACUACGUGCCAGCAGCCGCGGUAAUACGUAGGUCCCGAGCGUUGUCCGGAUUUAUUGGGCGUAAAGCGAGCGCAGGCGGUUAGAUAAGUCUGAAGUUAAAGGCAGUGGCUCAACCAUUGUAGGCUUUGGAAACUGUUUAACUUGAGUGCAGAAGGGGGGAGGGGAAUUCCAUGUGUAGCGGUGAAAUGCGUAGAUAUAUGGAGGAACACCGGUGGCGAAAGCGGCUCUCUGGUCUGUAACUGACGCUGGGGCUCGAAAGCGUGGGGAGCGAACAAG